rnacentral:rRNA from 1 species
UACGAAGGGGGCUAGCGUUGCUCGGAAUCACUGGGCGUAAAGCGCACGUAGGCGGCUUUUUAAGUCAGAGGUGAAAUCCUGGAGCUCAACUCCAGAACUGCCUUUGAUACUGGAGAGCUUGAGUCCGGGAGAGGUGAGUGGAACUGCGAGUGUAGAGGUGAAAUUCGUAGAUAUUCGCAAGAACACCAGUGGCGAAGGCGGCUCACUGGCCCGGUACUGACGCUGAGGCGCGAAAGCGUGGGGAGCAAACAGGG